GUCACUGGUAUGGAGGCUGUGUCCC
rnacentral:piRNA from 1 species